rnacentral:rRNA from 1 species
AGUGAACGCUGGCGGUAGGCCUAACACAUGCAAGUCGAACGGCAGCACAGUAAGAGCUUGCUCUUACGGGUGGCGAGUGGCGGACGGGUGAGGAAUACAUCGGAAUCUACUUUUUCGUGGGGGAUAACGUAGGGAAACUUACGCUAAUACCGCAUACGACCUACGGUUGAAAGCAGGGGAUCUUCGGACCUUGCGCGAUUGAAUGAGCCGAUGUCGGAUUAGCUAGUUGGCGGGGUAAAGGCCCACCAAGGCGACGAUCCGUAGCUGGUCUGAGAGGAUGAUCAGCCACACUGGAACUGAGACACGGACCAGACGCCUACGGGAGGCAGCAGUGGGGAAUAUUGGACAAUGGGCGCAAGCCUGAUCCAGCAAUACCGCGUGGGUGAAGAAGGCCUUCGGGUUGUAAAGCCCUUUUGUUGGGAAAGAAAAGCAGCAGGUUAAUACCCCGCUGUUCUGACGGUACCCAAAGAAUAAGCACCGGCUAACUUCGUG